rnacentral:lncRNA from 1 species
ACACAUAGGCAGUUAUAGUAGGCAAAUUAGUGAUUCUUCAAGAGGAAAGCAGCAGAGUCAUAGAAAACAAAGAACACCAAAUAGGACAAAUGUGUUUUUUAUUUAUUUUUGAAUUCAGAAACUGUGGUGAAAUGAGCAGAAUUGCCUGGAAGCUGCUCUGGAAGCUCAUUCAAGGUUACCUGGGCCAGCCAGCUGGAACUGCAGCAGAACAUGGACCUAUCCUGCAGAUCCAGCUGAGACCCUGACCUUCACAUACUUCUCUAUGGGACGGAGAAUAGAAUGGGAGACUCCUGCUUCCCCUUUGCUUGUUGACCCAGCCUUGUAAGAUUUCACUUUCCCUAAUAAAACCCAAUCCGUAGCCCACG